AACGCUAGCUACAGGCUUAACACAUGCAAGUCGCGGGGUAACAUCUGGGAGAGCUUGCUCUUCCAGGAUGACGACCGGCGCACGGGUGAGUAACGCGUAUCCAACCUGGCCCAUACCACGGGAUAGCCCGUCGAAAGGCGGAUUAAUACCGUAUGCUGUCAUUAAGAUGCAUAUAUUGAUGACGAAAGGACUGGCGGUAUGGGAUGGGGAUGCGUCUGAUUAGCUUGUUGGCGGGGUAACGGCCCACCAAGGCGACGAUCAGUAGGGGUUCUGAGAGGAAGGUCCCCCACAUUGGAACUGAGACACGGUCCAAACUCCUACGGGAGGCAGCAGUGAGGAAUAUUGGUCAAUGGGCGCAAGCCUGAACCAGCCAAGUAGCGUGAGGGAAGACUGCCCUACGGGUUGUAAACCUCUUUUGUUUGGGAAUAAAGUGCGGGACGCGUCCCGCAUUGCAUGUACCAUUUGAAUAAGGACCGGCUAAUUCCGUGCCAGCAGCCGCGGUAAUACGGAAGGUCCGGGCGUUAUCCGGAUUUAUUGGGUUUAAAGGGAGCGCAGGCCGUGGGUUAAGCGUGUCGUGAAAUUCCGUCGCUCAACGGCGGACGUGCGGCGCGAACUGGUCCACUUGAGUACGCGGGACGUUGGCGGAAUUCGUGGUGUAGCGGUGAAGUGCUUAGAUAUCACGAAGAACUCCGAUUG
rnacentral:rRNA from 1 species